rnacentral:rRNA from 1 species
GUGUCAGCAGCCGCGGUAAAACGUAGGUGGCGAGCGUUAUCCGGAAUUACUGGGCGUAAAGCGUGUGCAGGCGGGCUGUCAAGUGGUGUAUGAAAUCUCCCGGCUCAACCGGGAAGGGUUAUGCCAGACUGACAGUCUUGAGUGCGAGAGAGGAAUGUGGAAUUCCGGGUGUAGUGGUGAAAUGCGUAGAGAUCCGGAGGAACCCCAGAGGCGAAGGCGGCAUUCUGGCUCGCAACUGACGCUCAGACACGACAGCAUGGGGAGCGAACGGGAUUAGAUACCCGCGUAGUCC